rnacentral:rRNA from 1 species
UGGGGAAUAUUGCACAAUGGGCGCAAGCCUGAUGCAGCCAUGCCGCGUGUAUGAAGAAGGCCUUCGGGUUGUAAAGUACUUUCAGCGGGGAGGAAGGCGAUAAGGUUAAUAACCUUGUCGAUUGACGUUACCCGCAGAAGAAGCACCGGCUAACUCCGUGCCAGCAGCCGCGGUAAUACGGAGGGUGCAAUCGUUAAUCGGAAUUACUGGGCGUAAAGCGCACGCAGGCGGUCUGUCAAGUCGGAUGUGAAAUCCCCGGGCUCAACCUGGGAACUGCAUUCGAAACUGGCAGGCUAGAGUCUUGUAGAGGGGGGUAGAAUUCCAGGUGUAGCGGUGAAAUGCGUAGAGAUCUGGAGGAAUACCGGUGGCGAAGGCGGCCCCCUGGACAAAGACUGACGCUCAGGUGCGAAAGCGUGGGGAGCAAACA